rnacentral:rRNA from 1 species
ACGGGUGCGUAACGCGUAUGCAACCUACCUUAAUCUGGGGGAUAGCCCGGAGAAAUCCGGAUUAAUACCGCAUAAAAUCACAGGAUGGCAUUAUCCAAUGAUCAAACAUUUAUGGGAUUGAGAAGGGCAUGCGUGUCAUUAGCUAGUUGGCGGGGUAACGGCCCACCAAGGCGACGAUGACAAGGGGAUCUGAGAGGAUGGCCCCCCACACUGGUACUGAGACACGGACCAAACUCCUACGGGAGGCAGCAGUAAGGAAUAUUGGUCAAUGGAGGCAACUCUGAACCAGCCAUGCCGCGUGCAGGAAGACUGCCCUAUGGGUUGUAAACUGCUUUUAUCCGGGAAUAAACCACAUUACGUGUAAUGUGCUGAAUGUACCGGAAGAAUAAGGAUCGGCUAACUCCGUGCCAGCAGCCGCGGUAAUACGGAGGAUCCAAGCGUUAUCCGGAUUUAUUGGGUUUAAAGGGUGCGUAGGCGGCCUGUUAAGUCAGGGGUGAAAGACGGUAGCUCAACUAUCGCAGUGCCCUUGAUACUGAUGGGCUUGAAUGGACUAGAGGUAGGCGGAAUGAGACAAGUAGCGGUGA